rfam:Candidatus Ryanbacteria bacterium RIFCSPHIGHO2_02_FTLL_45_13b rifcsphigho2_02_scaffold_1326, whole genome shotgun sequence.
GUUGGUGACUCGACGCUGUGGAACUACCUCUUCCCAUCCCGAACAGAGUCGUAAAACGCAGUAGUGCCGAUGGUACUAUGGACUUCGCGUUCAUGGGAGAGUAGGCAGUCGCCAACU